UCAGACGAUGCGUCAUGCAUAUCAAUAAGCGGAGGAAAAGAAACUAACAAGGAUUCCCUUAGUAACGGCGAGUGAAGCGGGAAGAGCUCAAAUUUGAAAUCUUCAAGGUUUUACCUUGACGAAUUGUAGUUUAAAGAAGUGUUUUCUGUUGGAGUUUUGGUAAAAGUUCUUUGGAAUAGGACAUCAUAGAGGGUGAGAAUCCCGUAUUUGACCAUUAUUUUCAGCUGUGUGAUACACUUUCAAAGAGUCGGAUUGUUUGGGAAUGCAGUCCAAAAUGGGUGGUAAAUUUCAUCUAAAGCUAAAUAUUGGCGAGAGACCGAUAGCGAACAAGUACCGUGAGGGAAAGAUGAAAAGAACUUUGAAAAGAGAGUUAAACAGUACGUGAAAUUGUCAAAAGGGAAGCGUUUGACACCAGUGUUGUUUUUCUCGAAAAUCAAUUAAAAAUGGAUUCAUGCCAAGUUGUAUUGACCUUAUCAGCUAUGCAAUUUGGUUUUGGGUUCUUUUUUGAUGCACUUUUCGGUUAACAAGUCAACAUCAAUUUCCUUUGCUGUAAAAGGGCAGAAGGAAGGUGGCUUCAAUUUCGGUUGAAGUGUUUAUAGCCUUUUGUCUCUGCAGUCGGGGAGAUUGAGGUCUGCAGCGUAGAUCCUUCGGGGUUAGAUACAUUCGUGCUAAGUUAUAGCCUUUUUAUAGACAACUUGUUGACUAUGAUCGGUCUUGUAAUUUACUCGCGAGUGCUAUUUUACCUACGCUUAGGAUGUUGAUAUGCAUGACUGAUAU
rnacentral:rRNA from 1 species